rnacentral:rRNA from 1 species
UACGGGGGGGGUAAGCGUUGUUCGGAAUUACUGGGCGUAAAGGGCUCGUAGGCGGCCAACUAAGUCAUACGUGAAAUCCCUCAGCUUAACUGGGGAACUGCGUGUGAUACUGGAUGGCUUGGAUUUGGGAGAGGGAUGCGGAAUUCCAGGUGUAGCGGUGAAAUGCGUAGAUAUCUGGAGGAACACCGGUGGCGAAGGCGACGUCCUGGACCGGCAUUGACGCUGAGGCGCGAAAGCCAGGG